UACGGAGGGUGCAAACGUUGCUCGGAAUCAUUGGGCGUAAAGCGCACGUAGGCGGCUCAGCAAGUCGGGUGUGAAAGCCCUCAGCUCAACUGAGGAAGUGCGCCCGAAACUGCAGAGCUUGAGUGCCGGAGAGGGUGGCGGAAUUCCCCAAGUAGAGGUGAAAUUCGUAAGAUAUGGGGAGGAACACCGGUGGCGAAGGCGGCCACCUGGACGGUAACUGACGCUGAGACGCGAAAGCGUGGGAGCAAACAGG
rnacentral:rRNA from 1 species